UACGGAGGAUGCGAGCGUUAUCCGGAUUUAUUGGGUUUAAAGGGUGCGUAGGCGGAUAUUUAAGUCAGUGGUAAAAUGGAGAGGCUCAACCUCUUUCCGCCAUUGAAACUGGGUGUCUUGAGUGAGCGAGAAGUAUGCGGAAUGCGUAGUGUAGCGGUGAAAUGCAUAGAUAUUACGCAGAACUCCGAUUGCGAAGGCAGCAUACCGGCGCUCAACUGACGCUGAAGCACGAAAGCGUGGGGAUCGAA
rnacentral:rRNA from 1 species